CUGAAUGAUUCACGAGGUUUACUAGUCAUCAUUGAAGUUUUCCCAUGGUUCCCACGUCUUAGUGAAUGAUUUCAUGGAGCCUCUUAUUUCGACCGUUAGUUUGUCCAUAAGAUGACAUUCUUUGAUUUUGUUAAGCACUGUGGACAAUGGGGGGGAUAGGUUGCAGCCACGUGUGGGCUAGGGCUUUUCUGGCUGCUAGUGCUAUUUUCUUUACCAGUUGUUGUUCUGGUCUAGGCCAGUCAUCUAGGGGUUUGGCUAGCAGGAAUGUCCAUGGAUUUAGGUCUACCGGUCUGUGUAGGAUUUGUGUUAUUAGCUUUUGGAUGUCUUUCCAGAAGAGUUUAAUGAUGGGGCAGAACCACCACAUGUGGGUGUAUGUCCCUUUUUCUCCGCAGUUACGCCAACAGAGAUCUGUAGGUGUUUUUUUCAUGUGGCAUAAUUGGACCGGGGUAAUGUACCAUCUAAGCAUUGUUUUAUAUGCCUGUUCCUGCAUCGUGACACAGAUGGAGGUUUUUGUGUUAGCUUCCCAUAUGUCCUGCCAGUCAAUUCCCUCUAGAGUUUCGCCCAGGUCUGACUACCAUUUGUCAGUGUAUUGGAGUUGUCCCCAUUCUCGUGUGGUGGAACAGAGGUGGGAGUAUAGUGUGGUGAUCAUGCCUUUUUGAUACCGUUCCGCUAAGCAGGUGCGUUCAAAAAAGGUUGGACUGGUUGUAGCGGCGGUUUUCACCGUUGCUAGGGCCGCGUAAUUUUUUAGUUGUAGAUAUCUAAAGAAGUCGGCUGGCUUCAACGUUGUUCUGGACUGUAGGUCUGGGAAGGGAAUUAUCUUAUCUCCUGCAUAGAGUUGGUAUACUCUCUAAAGGCCAGCUUGCUCUAAGCCUUUAAAGUCCCAUGGUCUCAUGCCUGGUGUGAAGGCUCUAAUACGAUAUAUGGGGGUGAGUGGCGAUGUCGUGGUAGUCAGCCCGUAUUUAAGAGCUUAUUUGUCCCAUAAUUAAAUUGAGUUGGUGAUGGCCGGGCACGCCGUUCUCGGGAGCGCCCUGUGUUCUUUAGGGGUCCAGAUGUAAAAUUGCGGGAGAUCGGAUCUCAUGAGCAAUGAUUCCAGAUCUACCCACCUUCUAGUCGCUGGGGGGGUGUGCCAUAGGGCUAUUUGUGCCAUCUGGGCAGCCAGAUAGUAAAAGUGGAGGUGGGGUAGGCCCAGGCCUCCUCUCGUUUUGGGGCGAUAAAGUAUGUUGCGGGCUACUCUGUGUCUCUUGUUCUGCCAGAUAAAUAUAUAUAUUGCCCGCUGUAGUGGGAUGAGGUUGUGUUUCGUGAUGGGGAUGGGUAUGGCCUGGAAUAGGAAUAGAAUGCGGGGUAAAACGUUCAUCUUUAUUGAGUGUAUUCUUCCUAUCCAGGAUAUGGGUUUGUCCGCCCAGGUCUCCAUGUCCGAGAUGAGUUUUUCUAUCAUGGGUAUGUAGUUUAGUCUGUAGAGUGUGGUGGUGUCUGCUGGCAGUUUGAUGCCUAGAUACGUAAGGAACGUUGAUGUAACGUUUAUGUGGUGGUCUAAGGUGAUGUUAGUUAUGUCCGUUUGUGUGAGGUUUAUGGGGAGAGCACUAGAUUUCUCCACAUUUACCUUGUAUCCCAAGACCUCCCCGUACGUGUUCAAAAGUGGGAGCAAUGCUCGCAGUGUGGAAAUGGGUUCGGUUAAGGUCAACAUGAUAUCGUCCGGUGGGCACGUCGUUCCAGUUAUCAUAAUUUGUGCUGAAACGUUCGUGUAUAGUGCGCGUACAGCUGUAAUAUAUGUGAGGGGGGCAUGUUUAGGUGUUCUAAGAGUGCGAACAUAUAGGGCCACUUUACCCUGUGGAACGCUUUUUCUGCGUCUAGGGAGAACACUAGUGAUGGUGUUUUCGCGGCUGCUAGCAUCCAUAUUAUGUCUAUGUUUCGUCUCUUAUUUUCGAAUAACUGUUGUCCAGGUAUGAAGCCCACCUGGUCGGCGUGGACUAGGUGUGUUAGGUAUGGGUUCAGUCUCCCCGCUAGUAUUUUGGCGAAGAUUUUGCUGUCAUGGUUUAUGAGGGAUAUUGGUCUGUAUGCUUCUGGUUGAGUGUGGUCUUUGCCCGGUUUUGGAAGUAGUAUGAUGUUUGCCCGUGUCAUGUUGUUAUCUGGUGGGGUUCCCGUCAUCAGGUCUUGGAACAAGGAUUCCAGGUGUGGGAUUAGUACUUCUCUAAAGGUUUUGUAGUAGCUGCCCUCAAAACCGUCUGGGCCGGGGGCUUUAUGGCUUUUGAGGGAGGAUAUGGCUGCGCUGAUUUCAUCUUUAGUAAUCGGUGCUGAUAAUUCUGUUAUGGCUGCAGUGUGUAGUUUUGGUAGGUUUAGUCGGGUGAGAAAGUCUGUUAUUUUCUGACUCGCCCCUGCGUUCGUCCUGUGGUCUUGCGUGGAGUGGUUAUAUAACUUUGUGUAGAAGGAUGUGAAUGUUUGGGCUAUUUCUGUCCAUCCGGGGCUCUAAUUUUCAUGAUAUGGGGGUGUAGGGUCCUGGGUCGUAGUGUGCGGGCCAGUAGCGUAUCCAUUUUAUUGGAUUUGUUGUAGAAUGUCCUUUUCGUCCAUGUGAGUGCUCGGGCUGUAUUGUCUAUGAGUAGUUGUCUGAUUGUGAUGCGGGUGUUUUGGAGUAGUUGUAGUGUUUGAG